UUAGAGUUUGAUCCUGGCUCAGGAUGAACGCUAGCGGCAGGCUUAACACAUGCAAGUCGAGGGGCAGCAGGGAGUAGCAAUACUCUGCUGGCGACCGGCGCACGGGUGCGUAACGCGUAUGCAACCUACCCACCACAGGAGGAUAACCCAGGGAAACCAGGACUAAUACUCCAUAUUGUUGACUACCCGCAUGAGUGGUCAACCAAAGAUUCAUCGGUAGUGGAUGGGCAUGCGUGACAUUAGGUAGUUGGUAAGGUAACGGCUUACCAAGCCGACGAUGUCUAGGGGAGCUGAGAGGCUUAUCCCCCACACUGGUACUGAGACACGGUCCAAACUCCUACGGGAGGCAGCAGUGAGGAAUAUUGGUCAAUGGACGCAAGUCUGAACCAGCCAUGCCGCGUGCAGGAAUAAGGCCCUAUGGGUCGUAAACUGCUUUUGUGGUGGAGCAAUAAGUCGUACGUGUACGGCGAUGAGAGUACAUCACGAAUAAGCAUCGGCUAACUCCGUGCCAGCAGCCGCGGUAAUACGGAGGAUGCAAGCGUUAUCCGGAUUUAUUGGGUUUAAAGGGUGCGUAGGCUGUGCGACAAGUCAGCGGUGAAAGCCCGGGGCCCAACUCCGGAACUGCCGUUGAUACUGCCGCGCUGGAAUACGGAUGCCGUGGGAGGAAUGAGUAGUGUAGCGGUGAAAUGCAUAGAUAUUACUCAGAACACCGAUUGCGAAGGCAUCUCACGAAUCCGUCAUUGACGCUGAGGCACGAAAGCGUGGGGAUCAAACAGGAUUAGAUACCCUGGUAGUCCACGCAGCAAACGAUGAUAACUAACCGUCGGCGAUAGACAGUCGGUGGCCAAGCGAAAGCGAUAAGUUAUCCACCUGGGGAGUACGUUCGCAAGAAUGAAACUCAAAGGAAUUGACGGGGGCCCGCACAAGCGGAGGAACAUGUGGUUUAAUUCGAUGAUACGCGAGGAACCUUACCCGGGCUCGAACGGCUGGUGAAGAGAUCCAGAGAUGGUGACGUCCUUCGGGACACCAGUCGAGGUGCUGCAUGGUUGUCGUCAGCUCGUGUCGUGAGAUGUUGGCUCAAGUGCCAUAACGAGCGCAACCCUUGUCACUAGUUACCAGCAUGUCAAGAUGGGGACUCUAGUGAGACUGCCACCGUAAGGUGUGAGGAAGGCGGGGAUGACGUCAAAUCAGCACGGCCCUUACGUCCGGGGCGACACACGUGUUACAAUGGCGGUUACAGAGGGAAGCCACCCGGUGACGGGGAGCAAAUCUUAAAAAGCCGCCUCAGUUCGGACUGGAGUCUGCAACCCGACUCCACGAAGCUGGAUUCGCUAGUAAUCGCGCAUCAGCCAUGGCGCGGUGAAUACGUAACCGGGCCUUGCACUCACCGCCCGUCA
rnacentral:rRNA from 1 species